CAAUACACAAACCAACCUCUCCAUUUUCUCUCUACUUCUCUUCCCUUUUUUGUUCUCUCUCUGUAAACCCCCUAAACACCACACAGACUCCGGAAAAGGAGAAGCUAUGUUUUUCUUGGGCUUGCCUGGGCUGCACUGUUCUGCAAUGGCUUCUGUUGUUAAAGGCUUGUUUUCUCUUCCGUUUUGUGGAAUGACCGAAGUGCUGUUUUUGAACUUGAGCUAUUCUCUGACCUUCCCUUCGUAAAUCGAAGGUCAUUUUGGUGCAUUCACAGAUAGGGGAAGCAACCCAGUACAAUGUAGGUGCUUAAAAGGCAGACAGGAUGGAGCCAG
rnacentral:misc_RNA from 1 species